rnacentral:lncRNA from 1 species
CUCUCUCCCUCUUUUUCUCUCUCUCUAUACAAAGAAAUGGAACCUAACGAUACCCAACACCACCAUCACCCCCACCAUCACCUCAGCUCCUCCUCUUACUUCACCACCUCCACCACUCCAGCUCCGGCCACCACAACUCCUUCUCCGACCAAUGGCCUUCUCCCGCCGCCACCUCAUGAUACUGGCGGUGGUGGAGGGACUCAUAUGGUGUAUCCACACUCAGUGGGGCCAUCAACGGCGGCAGUGAGUAGUGCGCCGGUGGAGUCUCCUAGAAGGAAGCGUGGGCGGCCUAGAAAGUAUGGCACGCCGGAGCAAGCAUUAGCGGCGAAGAAAACGGC